UACGUAGGCGGGAAAUUAAGUCAGUAGUGAAAUCCCACAGCUUAACUGUGGAACUGUUAUUGAUACUGGUUUUCUUGAAUAUAGUUGAGGUAGGCGGAAUGUGUAAUGUAGCGGUGAAAUGCUUAGAUAUUACACAGGACACCGAUUGCGAAGGCAGCUUACUAAGCUAUGAUUGACGCUGAGGUACGAAAGCGUGGGGAGCGAACAGGAUUAGAUACCCUGGUAGUCC
rnacentral:rRNA from 1 species